UGCAUCCGCAGGCAGUGGAACAAAUAUGAAUUUUAGUUGAUUGUAUAAUUCAUAUUUGAUCCACCGCCUGUCAAUGCA
rnacentral:miRNA from 1 species